GGGUUGUGAGGUUAAGUGACCAAGCGUACACGGUGGAUGCCCUGGCAGUCAGAGGCGAUGAAGGACGUGCUAAUCUGCGAAAAGCGCCGGUAAGGUGAUAUGAACCGUUAUAACCGGCGAUGUCCGAAUGGGGAAACCCAGUGUGACUCGUCACACUAUCAUUAACUGAAUCCAUAGGUUAAUGAGGCGAACCGGGGGAACUGAAACAUCUAAGUACCCCGAGGAAAAGAAAUCAACCGAGAUUCCCCCAGUAGCGGCGAGCGAACGGGGAGGAGCCCAGAGCCUGAAUCAGCAUGUGUGUUAGUGGAAGCGUCUGGAAAGGCGCGCGAUACAGGGUGACAGCCCCGUACACAAAAGCGCACAUGCUGUGAGCUCGAUGAGUAGGGCGGGACACGUGGUAUCCUGUCUGAAUAUGGGGGGACCAUCCUCCAAGGCUAAAUACUCCUGACUGACCGAUAGUGAACCAGUACCGUGAGGGAAAGGCGAAAAGAACCCCGGCGAGGGGAGUGAAACAGAACCUGAAACCGUGUACGUACAAGCAGUGGGAGCCUCUCUUUAUGGGGGGUGACUGCGUACCUUUUGUAUAAUGGGUCAGCGACUUAUAUUCUGUAGCAAGGUUAACCGCAUAGGGGAGCCGAAGGGAAACCGAGUCUUAAUUGGGCGUUAAGUUGCAGGGUAUAGACCCGAAACCCGGUGAUCUAGCCAUGGGCAGGUUGAAGGUUGGGUAACACUAACUGGAGGACCGAACUGACUAAUGUUGAAAAAUUAGCGGAUGACCUGUGGCUGGGGGUGAAAGGCCAAUCAAACCGGGAGAUAGCUGGUUCUCCCCGAAAGCUAUUUAGGUAGCGCCUCGUGAACUCAUCUCCGGGGGUAGAGCACUGUUUCGGCUAGGGGGCCAUCCCGGCUUACCAACCCGAUGCAAACUGCGAAUACCGGAGAAUGUUAUCACGGGAGACACACGGCGGGUGCUAACGUCCGUCGUGAAGAGGGAAACAACCCAGACCGCCAGCUAAGGUCCCAAAGUCAUGGUUAAGUGGGAAACGAUGUGGGAAGGCCCAGACAGCCAGGAUGUUGGCUUAGAAGCAGCCAUCAUUUAAAGAAAGCGUAAUAGCUCACUGGUCGAGUCGGCCUGCGCGGAAGAUGUAACGGGGCUAAACCAUGCACCGAAGCUGCGGCAGCGACACUUUAGUGUUGUUGGGUAGGGGAGCGUUCUGUAAGCCGUCGAAGGUGUGUCGUGAGGCAUGCUGGAGGUAUCAGAAGUGCGAAUGCUGACAUAAGUAACGAUAAAGCGGGUGAAAAGCCCGCUCGCCGGAAGACCAAGGGUUCCUGUCCAACGUUAAUCGGGGCAGGGUGAGUCGACCCCUAAGGCGAGGCCGAAAGGCGUAGUCGAUGGGAAACGGGUUAAUAUUCCCGUACUUGGUGUUACUGCGAAGGGGGGACGGAGAAGGCUAUGUUGGCCGGGCGACGGUAGUCCCGGUUUAAGCGUGUAGGUGUGUGUUCCAGGUAAAUCCGGUUCACUUUAACACUGAGGCGUGAUGACGAGGCACCACGGUGCUGAAGCAACAAAUGCCCUGCUUCCAGGAAAAGCCUCUAAGCAUCAGGUAACAUCAAAUCGUACCCCAAACCGACACAGGUGGUCAGGUAGAGAAUACCAAGGCGCUUGAGAGAACUCGGGUGAAGGAACUAGGCAAAAUGGUGCCGUAACUUCGGGAGAAGGCACGCUGACACGUAGGUGAAGUGAUUUACUCAUGGAGCUGAAGUCAGUCGAAGAUACCAGCUGGCUGCAACUGUUUAUUAAAAACACAGCACUGUGCAAACACGAAAGUGGACGUAUACGGUGUGACGCCUGCCCGGUGCCGGAAGGUUAAUUGAUGGGGUCAGCGCAAGCGAAGCUCCUGAUCGAAGCCCCGGUAAACGGCGGCCGUAACUAUAACGGUCCUAAGGUAGCGAAAUUCCUUGUCGGGUAAGUUCCGACCUGCACGAAUGGCGUAAUGAUGGCCAGGCUGUCUCCACCCGAGACUCAGUGAAAUUGAACUCGCUGUGAAGAUGCAGUGUACCCGCGGCAAGACGGAAAGACCCCGUGAACCUUUACUAUAGCUUGACACUGAACAUUGAGCCUUGAUGUGUAGGAUAGGUGGGAGGCUUUGAAGCGUGGACGCCAGUCUGCGUGGAGCCGACCUUGAAAUACCACCCUUUAAUGUUUGAUGUUCUAACGUGGACCCGUAAUCCGGGUUGCGGACAGUGUCUGGUGGGUAGUUUGACUGGGGCGGUCUCCUCCUAAAGAGUAACGGAGGAGCACGAAGGUUGGCUAAUCCUGGUCGGACAUCAGGAGGUUAGUGCAAUGGCAUAAGCCAGCUUGACUGCGAGCGUGACGGCGCGAGCAGGUGCGAAAGCAGGUCAUAGUGAUCCGGUGGUUCUGAAUGGAAGGGCCAUCGCUCAACGGAUAAAAGGUACUCCGGGGAUAACAGGCUGAUACCGCCCAAGAGUUCAUAUCGACGGCGGUGUUUGGCACCUCGAUGUCGGCUCAUCACAUCCUGGGGCUGAAGUAGGUCCCAAGGGUAUGGCUGUUCGCCAUUUAAAGUGGUACGCGAGCUGGGUUUAGAACGUCGUGAGACAGUUCGGUCCCUAUCUGCCGUGGGCGCUGGAAGAUUGAGGGGGGCUGCUCCUAGUACGAGAGGACCGGAGUGGACGCAUCACUGGUGUUCGGGUUGUCAUGCCAAUGGCACUGCCCGGUAGCUAAAUGCGGAAAAGAUAAGUGCUGAAAGCAUCUAAGCACGAAACUUGCCCCGAGAUGAGUCUUCCCUGAGACUUUGAGUCUCCUGAAGGAACGUUAAAGACGAUGACGUUGAUAGGCCGGGUGUGUAAGCGCAGCGAUGCGUUGAGCUAACCGGUACUAAUGAACCGUGAGGCUUAACCUUACAACGCCGAAGCUGUU
rnacentral:rRNA from 1 species